rnacentral:ncRNA from 1 species
GCACAGAGUGCAGGGAUGAUCUGAGAAAUACCGGAGAACUUGAUCUGGAUAAUACCAGCGAAAGGACAUGCUUUUUGAUUCUU